GCAAGCAUGAAUUUGGCCAGGGAAAAAGCGUGCUGUUCCCCAUGAAGAACGGUUUCCACUGUCUCAACAGCAGAUGCGUACUUCCAGAAAUCCUUGCAGGUGCUGGCAGCACUACAGAGAUCCGCCCCUCCCAGUUGUCGGAAAAUCUUAUUUGUCAUAUCAACGGAUAAAUCUUCAAAUGUUCCACGAGGUGAGUCCAUUGUUGCACCUAAACAACGCACGCAUCAAUCAGGAAGAGCAGUAGAACAGGACUGCGCAAUAGAAAUCGCCGGUGUGCAGUCACGAACUCAACCCUCACUUUCAUCUGAGGUCCUAAGCAUGUGCAAUCACACUCGCAGGAAUGCACAAUCGACCCGAUGAAAGGAAAAGCGCUUGACCUGUUUGUUCCGAAUAUGCCUUGGAAGCAACACUAGCGCCCACCUUAUCGUAGCAACAACAUCACAACUUCAAUGUUUCGGGCCAGUAAUCGAAAACUUUUUCAUCCGU
rnacentral:lncRNA from 1 species